GGCGGCGUGGCCAAGAGGUUAAGGCAGGGGUCUGCAAAACCCCGAUACGGCGGUUCAAAUCCGCCCGCCGCCU
rnacentral:tRNA from 1 species